UAUUUCGAAUGUGAGGUCGUCUAUGAACGC
rnacentral:sRNA from 1 species